rnacentral:rRNA from 1 species
CAUUCACGGAGAGUUUGAUCCUGGCUCAGGACGAACGCUGGCGGCGUGCUUAACACAUGCAAGUCGAACGAUGAAGCCCUUCGGGGUGGAUUAGUGGCGAACGGGUGAGUAACACGUGGGCAAUCUGCCCUCCACUCUGGGACAAGCCCUGGAAACGGGGUCUAAUACCGGAUACGACCAUCGGCCGCAUGGCCUGGUGGUGGAAAGCUCCGGCGGUGGAGGAUGAGCCCGCGGCCUAUCAGCUGGUUGGUGAGGUGAUGGCUCACCAAGGCGACGACGGGUAGCCGGCCUGAGAGGGCGACCGGCCACACUGGGACUGAGACACGGCCCAGACUCCUACGGGAGGCAGCAGUGGGGAAUAUUGCACAAUGGGCGCAAGCCUGAUGCAGCGACGCCGCGUGAGGGAUGACGGCCUUCGGGUUGUAAACCUCUUUCAGCAGGGAAGAAGCGAAAGUGACGGUACCUGCAGAAGAAGCGCCGGCUAACUACGUGCCAGCAGCCGCGGUAAUACGUAGGGCGCAAGCGUUGUCCGGA